UGGCUCAGUUGGUAGAGCAUGGUGUUUGCAACGCCAAUGUUGUGGGUUCGAUUCCCAC
rnacentral:tRNA from 1 species